GCGGGAUUAGAGUUUGAUCAUGGCUCAGAACGUACGCUGGCGGCACGCCUAACACAUGCAAGUCGAACGAAGUAGCAAUACUUAGUGGCAGACGGGUGAGUAACAUGUGGGUAUCUGCCCUUUGGCCUGGAAUAACACGAGGAAACUUGUGCUAAUACCGGAUAAGUCUUUACGGAGAAAGCUUUAUGCACCAUUGGAUGAGCCCGCACUUGAUUAGUUUGUUGGUGGGGUAAUGGCCUACCAAGACUGUGAUCAAUAGCUGAUUUGAGAGGAUGAUCAGCCACAUUGGGACUGAGACACGGCCCAAACUCCUACGGGAGGCAGCAGUGGGGAAUCUUGCACAAUGGAGGAAACUCUGAUGCAGCGAUGCCGCGUGAGUGAAGAAGGCCCUUGGGUUGUAAAGCUCUUUCGUCGGGGAAGAAAAUGACUGUACCCGAAUAAGAAGGUCCGGCUAACUUCGUGCCAGCAGCCGCGGUAAUACGAAGGGACCUAGCGUAGUUCGGAAUUACUGGGCUUAAAGAGUUCGUAGGUGGUUGAAAAAGUUAGUGGUGAAAUCCCAGAGCUUAACUCUGGAACUGCCAUUAAAACUUUUCAGCUAGAGUAUGAUAGAGGAAAGCAGAAUUUCUAGUGUAGAGGUGAAAUUCGUAGAUAUUAGAAAGAAUACCAAUUGCGAAGGCAGCUUUCUGGAUCAUUACUGACACUGAGGAACGAAAGCAUGGGUAGCGAAGAGGAUUAGAUACCCUCGUAGUCCAUACCGUAAACGAUGUGUGUUAGACGUUGGAAAUUUAUUUUCAGUGUCGCAGCGAAAAGCGAUAAACACACCGCCUGGGGAGUACGACCGCAAGGUUAAAAACUCAAAUGAAUUGACGGGGACCCGCACAAGUAGUGGAGCAUGUGGUUUAAUUCGAAGAUACGCGCAGAACCUUACCAACACUUGACAUGUUCGUCGCGACUCUAAGAGAUUAGAGUUUUCGGUUCGGCCGGACGAAACACAGGUGCUGCAUGGCUGUCGUCAGCUCGUGUCGUGAGAUGUUGGGUUAAGUCCCGCAACGAGCGCAACCCUCACUUUUAGUUGCCAUCAUUAAGUUGGGCACUCUGAAAGAACUGCCAGUGAUAAGCUGGAGGAAGGUGGGGAUGACGUCAAGUCCUCAUGGCCCUUACGUGUUGGGCUACACACGUGCUACAAUGGUAUCUACAACAGGAAGCAAGACUGCGAGGUCAAGCAAAUCCUUAAAAGAUACCUCAGUUCGGAUUGCACUCUGCAACUCGAGUGCAUGAAGCUGGAAUUACUAGUAAUCGUGGAUCAGCGUGCCACGGUGAAUGCGUUCCCGGGUCUUGUACACACCGCCCGUCACACCAUGGGAGUUGGUUCUACCUUAAGGCAAGGUUUCAAACCCUUGACCACGGUAUAGUCAGCGACUG
rnacentral:rRNA from 1 species